GCCCAGUGCGCCUACGUCGCCAGAAAUGUUUUUCUAUGACUAACUCCAGUGGGUCCUUACCAUUUUCAUUUUUACCUUUAUGAACAUGUGUCAGUUAUAGUGAACGUAUAUUAAAAGCUAAUGUUACAGUAAAGUACACUAAAAUGUAAUUAAUUAGUCAGCCAGCUAGUGCUAUACAUACAUGUGUAAUCAUAAUACAGCAUAUACCAUGCGACUGAAAUCAUGCCAUAGCAAUAGUAACCUAUCCACAUGUAGAAGUAUGACAUGUAGGUACUCGUACAUACAUACAUACUAUGUGGACAUAUACAUACAUAUGUAGGUGCAAGGUGCUCGCUCGUGUUAUAUUGUACUAUAUCAUAAUAAUGCGAUAGCGUUACAUAUUGUGUCAGUUUGCUUAAUAAGUAAUUAUAUUAUGAUAUUCACCUUUCAUCGGUCGGAAAAACAAAAAAAUACCGGAUACUGUAGAAGCUGGUAACUGGGUCACACUUGUCCAUGUCUUGGACGACGACCACCUCUCUCUAUCUACACAUAACAGGGCACACAGGGAUAGAACUUUGAUGAGGAGCGCGCGGGCAUGGGAGAGGCGGCGCGGCGCGACCGAUGCUGCGCCGGGGCCGGGCCCGCACGGCUAUCGGGCCACGAGCUGUGAGCUGUGUGCAGCUGUCCUUCCUUCAGCAUUCGGCCGUCGGUCGAAUCCGAACCAGGCCAGUCCAGUGCGCGGCCGGCGGCGGCAGAGUCCGCACGUGUGCACGACCUCGCCCGCAGCGCUACCGCGACGCGCUCGCUACUUGUCACUACUCACUUUCGGCUUCGUCUCGACGCGAUCGCUUGUCGCGUCGUCGACACGCGAGUAAUUGCGCAGUGACUGAAGUGAUUAAGUACAGAUAUUAUGCAUUACUACAUAGUUUACAACAUUCAAAGUGCCUCCACUGUGAGUAGUACGGAAGGCGGUGGAGGCCGGGAGCUUCCUCGCCAUCUUCAUUUAUUUUUCGGCUCUCAUAGGACUCCGUUUUGAGAUCUCGAAAAUUGCUCAAGGCUAUCGACGCGCUACGCUCUGCGGCGCUAGCGAAUUAGAGAAAAGGCAAUAAGUGAAGAAGCGACAAUGGUGCGCAGGUGGCGCAGCGGAGCAUCGCAGGCGCCGCUCUCUGCGCCGCUCGCCGCGCUAUUCGGCACGCUGCUGUGCCUCGCGGUCGCAGCACAGCUCGACCUCGAGACCGAACGGCAACAACCAAAUCGAUCCCCGGGGAACGACACCGAGCUGGUCGUGACGGCCGUGUUGCCCGGCGGAAGCGCGGCCGGCGCUGCGCUCGCUGCACUGGCCGCGGCCGCACUGCGCCGUGCCGG